rnacentral:lncRNA from 1 species
UAAGAUGCAUUUAAAGAAAAAGUAAGACUUUGAAGCUGGAAUAGCAGGUGGCCAAAUUGGGAAGACGACAACAUGCUAAUCUGGACAAUUUAAUGUAAUUUUCUUGCCUGAAAAUAUAUUAAAAAUUAUAUAGAAUUCUCUUUUACACUAGAAUAAUUCAUUUGAAUAUGCCCCCUACCUUUCCAUCAAUCACUGUUUUAGUAAAACAAAGAUGGAAGCAAUUAAACAUGCAUCACAACACCGCUUCUACUAUCAAAGCAACUUAUCGAUACACGUGCCAUAUUCUUGCAGCAGGCAUGAUUCUUGCCUCGAGUUUGAAAGCCUUCCUUUAACACAAAAUUCAGAAGAAAAAAAAAACACGAAAUAUCUACAGAUGUUCUGCACACGAGGUACCUAUUUUUCUGCUGCUCUAUAGUNCAGCGACGCUGGUCGUGGCGGCGAGUCGCGACGGCGGUGGCAGGGCGCGACGAUGGUGAAGAGAGAAAGAGGCCAAGUUCGAUUUGGGAAAAUUUGGUGGGGGGUUGUUAGGGUUUUGGAGGUGUUAGCCGCGAAAAUUUUGAAGAGAAAUAAGGGCAAAAUCUAAUUUUUUUCUUUUUUUCUUUUUUCACUUUUAAUAUUCAAUUUUUGGUAUUUAGAUUUCUAAUUUAGUAUUUUUUAAUUUACUAUUUUAUAUAAGUGUUGAAUAAAAUAAAAAAAAUGUUAUGUAAUUUUUUAUUUUUCAAAGUCUAUAUCUAGGAAUAAAUUCAAAUUUUAGGAUAAAUAAUUUAUUUUUUAUUUUUUAAUAUAAUAUAAGAAUGUAGAAAAUUAUUUUAAAAAAAUUAAUAAAAAAAUUAUACAUAACAGUUUUUAGAGACGCUCAUACAUAACGGUUCAAAAACCGUUGUAAAUGACUCUUAUACAUAACGGUUCAAAAACCGUUGUAAAUUACUGUUAUAAAAGAUGGUCAUAGAUAACGGUGGCACAACGGUUUUGUAAUACCGUUAUGUAUGCAACUUAUAGAUAACGCAAAAACAUAACGCAUUUGUUCAAACCGUUAUCUAUGCAUUUAGACAACAGUACAUAGAUAACGGAUUUUCGCAAAACCGUUAUCUAUUCCUAAAAGUGCGCUCAUACACAACGGUUUUUGAAAAAAACCGUUGUCUAUUCACUGUUAUGUAUGUAAACUUUUGUAGUAGUGAUCCAUAUUGAGAUAGCAAAACUAAACACUGUCCACUGAGAUUAAAAAAAAAAAUAAAAAAAAAAUCGUACUUAUUAAUUGGAGAAUGAGAAAUAGGGGAGUGGUGAGAGAAGGAAAGUAAGAAGAAAAAUAAAAGAAAUUGGCAAAAGAAUAAAAUAAGGAUAAUAAUGUAAUCUUACAUAAAAAUGAUUAUUUUUUUAUUUUAAUGAAUAUUUUUUUUUAUUAUAUAAGAAUAGAUAGUUUUAUAUACUAUUAACUUUUACUCAUUGUCGUACAUAAUUAGUUAUAUUGUUGGAACCGCAGUAGAAAAAACCAAAAUGUGUUAUAUAUUUCUAUGAGAUAUAUUGCUUGUAUCAUGUAAAGACUCGACUCUUUUUUAUUCUUUGUCCCAUCUCCUAUGAGGCAUAUAUCUUAAGAAAUCAAAACUUAAUUAAGGAACGACCAGAUAUAAUUAAAAUGAGAACUCGUCCAAUUCAACUUAGUUAAUAAUCCUUAUUCUCAUCUCAUUUUUUUUUUUUUGAAAAGUAAAUAAAUUCAUUAAGAAACACAAAUGUGGGAGAGUACCAGCGGUACUCAUCUCCAAGUAGUAGAGUACAGAUACAGGCACAAAACAGCACACCAAUCUCAAAACGCAAGGAAAAACAAAGAAACACCAACCCGAAAACUUCACCCAAAAAACGAACAAGACUCAAGCGAUUUUUGCCGGAAAGCAGCUAACAGGAUCCAUCAUCCACUCAAAGGAAGAGUAAUAAAAAUGAUUUGGGUUCCUGGCUUUUAACCAUCUCCACGUGCAGAAAAUGAUUUCAUCCACCGUUCUAGAACUAUUAGGGCUUUCAUCCUUGAACACUUUCGCAUUUCUGAUUUUCCAAAUCUUCCAACAAGCACAUUGCCAAAUCAUGGUGCAAAUUGCUUUUCCAACCUUAUUCCCUCCUUUCUCAACAAAUUCAAAGAAGUGAUCCAGUAUGGAUGACUGGGAGAUAUGGCUGAAAUUCAGCCAUUUAUAGAUGGCCUUCCAAACCUGGUUCGAGUAAGCGCACGAGAUCAGAAUAUGGUCAGUAGACUCAAAGGGAGUAGGACAAAGGGGACAGCUGUAGCAAUUAUUCUCGAGAUAAAUUCCUCUCUUCAACAGGUUCUCUCUCGUUGGAUUUCUAUCUUGAAGAGCUUUCCAAACAAAUGAGGAUAUGCUUACUGCUCCGUUCUCCGAGCCAGAAAUUAAGGAGGCGGUCUAGGAUUGUGAAGGGAAUAAAAGUCCAGGGCCUGAUGGAUUCAACUUCUGUUUCUUGAAGAAAAUGUGGCACAUUCUUAAGGACGACUUUAUCAAGUUUCUCCAGGAAUUUUAUCAAAAUGGUAAGAUUGUUAGAGGAGGUAAUCCGUGUUUUGUAACUCUCAUUCCCAAGAAGACCUGCUCCCUUCAAGUUAGAGAUUUUCGUCCUAUCUCGCUGAUUGGCUGCACCUACAAGAUUCUGGCAAAAAUCUUGGCCAAAAGAUUGGCUAAAAUCAUUAGUAAGGUGAUUUCUAACAACCAAAGUGCCUUCGUGGGAGAUAGACAAAUUUUGGAUAGUAUCUUGGUCCUGAAUGAAUCUGUGGAUUUCCUUAAGAGAAAUGAAUCCAGUAGCUUGAUCUUUAAAGUUGACUUUGAAAAAGCGUAUGAUUCCGUCCUGUGGGAUUAUCUGGAUGAAAUGAUGGAAGGAAUGAACUUCUGCCAAAAGUGGAGAUCCUGGAUUAGAGGUUGUUUAUCUUCUGCAACGAUGUCGAUCCUUGUUAAUGGCAGCCCUACGGGAGAAUUCCCUCUUCAAAGAGGAAUCAGACAAGGCGAUCCCCUUUCUCCCUUUCUCUUUCUCAUUGCGGCGGAAGGAUUCAAUUGCCUUAUGAGUAAGGCCCUGGAUCUGAAUCUUUUUUAGGGUGUUGCUAUUGGAAGAGAGAAAGUGGUGGUUAGCCACUUGCAAUUUGCAGAUGACACAGUGAUUAUUGGAAAAACCACUCUUGAUAAUGCCAAAGCAAUAAAAGGUAUCCUCAGAAUUUUCGAAAUUUCUUCUGGCCUUAGUGUUAAUUUCCUUAAAAGCUCUCUUCAUGGUAUACUUGUGGAUAACAUCACGUUAGGCUCCUUUGCUGACAUCAUUGGUUGCAAUAUCGGUAGAAUUCCGUUCAAUUAUUUAGGUCUGCCGAUUGGUGCCAACCACAGGAAGAAAGAAACUUGGAGACCUAUGAUGGAAAGGAUCCGCAAGAAGCUGUCUGGAUGGGAAAAAAGAAGCCUCUCUUUUGGAGGAAGAACUAUUCUUUUGAAGUCAGUUUUGUCAGCCCUUCCGCUUUACUACCUUUCUUUCUUCAAAGCCCCUAAGUGUGUUAUCAAAUCACUUACCAGAAUUCAAAGAGAAAUCUUUUGGGGGGGAAAAGAAAAUAGCAGGAAAAUUGUGUGGGUCAACUGGGAAAGAGUGUGCCGGUGCAAAGAUGACGGCGGGCUCGGAGUGAGAGACAUUGAAGUGUUUAAUAUAGCUCUUUUAUGCAAAUGGUUUUGGAGAUUUGCUAAAAAUCAAAAUGUUCUGUGGGCUAGAGUGCUUAGGUCUAGAUAUGGGGACUUUUCUGUCGGGAACAGGGUUUCGAGUAAUAUGAAUCUUCAUUCUUUAUGGUGGAGGGAUUUGAAUCAUUUUCUUACAGGAGAUGAGGGAAAGUUGUUCUGUCAAAAUCUCUCUUUUAAGUUAGGAAAUAGCCUAUCAGCUCUUUUUUGGGACGACCCGUGGUUCAAAGGAGGGAUCCCGUUCAGGAGUAAAUUUAAAAAUCUUUUUGGUUUGUCUAUUCAAAAAAACUUUAAAGUUGGUGAGAUGGGUUUGGUGAAAGAUGGGAAGUGGGUCUGGGAGUUUGGGUGGAAGAGAAUAUUUAACAAUGUUGAGUUUGUAGAAUUUGUGGAUUUGUGGCUUUGUUUGUGCAGGGUGUUUAUUCGACCUAGCUUGGCUGAUUCUAUUGCUUGGAAUAGCUCGCGGUCAGAAAUCUUCACAACAAAAGAGAUGUACACAAUCCUUCACAAUAGCCGGCAAUCCAUGGAGACCACCCCGACUGCUCUUAAGGACAUAUGGCAUAAGUGCAUUCCCUGCAAAGUGUCCUCAUUUGUUUGGAAAGCUCUUCAAGAUAGAAUUCCAACGAGAGAGAACCUGUUGAAGAGAGGAAUUUAUCUCGAGAAUAAUUGCUACAGCUGUCCCCUUUGUCCUACUCCCUUUGAGUCUACUGACCACAUUCUGAUCUCGUGCGCUUACUCGAACCAGGUUUGGAAGGCCAUCUAUAAAUGGCUGAAUUUCAGCCAUAUCUCCCAGUCAUCCAUACUGGAUCACUUCUUUGAAUUUGUUGAGAAAUGAGGGAAUAAGGUUGGAAAAGCAAUUUGCACCAUGAUUUGGCAAUGUACUUGUUGGAAGAUUUGGAAAAUCAGAAAUGCGAAAGUGUUCAAGGAUGAAAGCCCUAAUAGUUCUAGAACGGUGGAUGAAAUCAUUUUCUGCACGUGGAGAUGGUUAAAAGUCAGGAACCCAAAUCAUUUUUAUUACUCUUCCUUUGAGUGGAUGAUGGAUCCUGUUAGCUGCUUUCCGGCAAAAAUCGCUUGAGUCUUGUUCGUUUGUUGGUGAAGUUUUCGGGUUGGUGUUUCUUUGUUUUUCCUUGCGUUUUGAGAUUGGUGUGCUGUUUUGGGCCUGUAUCUGUACUCUAAUUCUUGGGGAUGAGUACCGCUGGUACUCUCCCACAUUUGUGUUUCUUAAUGAAUUUAUUUACUUUUCAAAAAAAAAAAACAAAGAUGGAAGCAAUUAAACAUGCAUCACAACACCGCUUCUACUAUCAAAGCAACUAAUCGAUACACGUGCCAUAUUCUUGCAGCAGGCAUGAUUCUUGCCUCGAGUUUGAAAGCCUUCCUUUAACACAAAAUUCAGAAGAAAAAAAAAACACGAAAUAUCUACAGAUGUUCUGCACACGAGGUACCUAUUUUUCUGCUGCUCUAUAGUUUGAACAUGCCACCUUCAGAUGAACUUGAUCUUUGAAGUUGUGGAAUCAAGUUUUCAUGGAAGCACACUCUCGAUCCAUCACCAAAUGAAACUUCACAUACGAGCACAUGAUCUACAGUU